CGUCUAUUCCCUUUCCUCGGGGAUUGCUUCUCUCCAGAGGACUCUGUCACUCCUGCAGAUUCCUGCAGCCCCGCCCCUAAGGUUCACCUGAGGAGCGCUGAGAGCUGAGUCCCACCGGGCUUCAAGAGCGGGACAGCUUCCAGCAGCACGCUUUUUAACUUUGCUGAGAAAUAAAUGCUAAAUACAGUAGUGUACAUGUAAAGUCUACAGUGUAACGAUUUGAUGUACAUAUGCAUUGUGGAGCAGUUACCAAGAUCAAGAGGCAUAUUUCCCAGUUUAUUUCAUUUGCACUUGCCCAAGAAUGCAUGUUUUCAAGCUGGAUUUAGAAAAGGCAGAGGAACCAGAGGUCAAACUGCCAACAUCUGUUGGAUCAUCGAAAAAGAAGAGUUCCAGAAAAACAUCUACUUCUGCUUUAUGCCAAAGCCUUUGACUGUCUGGAUCACAACAAACUGUGGAAAAUUCUGAAAGAUAUGGGAAUACCAGACCACCUGACCUGCCUCUUGAGAAAUCUGUAUGCAGGUCAAGAAGCAACAGUUAGACUUGGACAUGGAACAACAGACUGGUUCCAAAUAGGAAAAGGAGUACGUCAAGGCUGUAUAUUGUCACCCUGCUAUUUAACUUAUAUGCAGAGUAUACAUCAUGAGAAAUGCUGGGCUGGAAGAAGCAUAAGCUGGAAUCAAGAUUGCCAGGAGAAAUAUCAAUAACCUCAGAUAUGCAGAUGACACCACCCUUAUGGCAGAAAGUGAAAAGGAACUAAAAAGCCUCUUGAUGAAAGUGAAAGAGGAGAGUGAAAAAGUUGGCUUAAACCUCAACAUUCAGAAAACUAAGAUCAUGGCAUCUGGUCCCAUCACUUCAUUGAAAAUAGAUGGGGAAACAGUGGAAACAGUGUCAGACUUUAUUUUUUGGGGCUCCAAAUCACUGGGGUGAUUGCAGCCAGGAAAUUAAAAGCCACUUACUCCUUGGAAGGAAAGUUAUGACCAAUCUAGAUAGCAUAUUCAAAAGCAGAGACAUUACUUUGCCAACAAAGGUUCGUCUAGUCAAGGCUAUGGUUUUUCCUGUGGUCAUGUAUGGAUGUGAGAGUUGGACUGUGAAGAAGGCUGAGCGCUGAAGAAUUGAUGCUUUUGAACUGUGGUGCUGGAGAAGACUCUUGAGAGUCCCUUGGACUGCAAGGAGAUCCAAUCGGUCCAUUCUAAAGGAGACCAGCCCUGGGAUUUCUUUGGAAGGACUGAUGCUAAAGCUGAAACUCCAAUACUUUGGCCAACAUAUGUGAAGAGGUGACUCAUUGGAAAAGACUCUGAUGCUGGGAGGGAUUGAGGGCAGGAGGAAAAGGGGAUGACAGA
rnacentral:lncRNA from 1 species